UUUUAAUAGCUUAUUAGAGCAUAAUACUGAAGAUAUUAAGGAAGUAUAUUUACUUUAAGAUAU
rnacentral:tRNA from 1 species